AGCCUCCUGUUGCUUAUCACAAGCUGUGUCCUUUAUACUGACUGCAUAGAAAGAGGAGGUACAGUAAUUCUACCUUAUAUAAACUUCAGCCCAGGCCCUUUGUCUAAUCAGUAUUAUGACUAGAGGAAAGUGG
ensembl:snoRNA